AUUGAACGCUGGCGGCAUGCCUUACACAUGCAAGUCGAACGGCAGCGGGGGAGAAGCUUGCUUUUCCUGCCGGCGAGUGGCGAACGGGUGAGUAAUACAUCGGAACGUGCCCUGUAGUGGGGGAUAACUAGUCGAAAGAUUAGCUAAUAACGCAUACGACACGAGGGUGAAAGGGGGGGCCCGCAAGGCCUCAUGCUAUAGGAGCGGCUGAUGUCUGAUUAGCGAGUUGGUGGGGUAAAGGCCUACCAAGGCGACGAUCAGUAGCUGGUCUGAGAGGACGAUCAGCCACACUGGGACUGAGACACGGCCCAGACUCCUACGGGAGGCAGCAGUGGGGAAUUUUGGACAAUGGGCGAAAGCCUGAUCCAGCAAUGCCGCGUGUGUGAAGAAGGCCUUCGGGUUGUAAAGCACUUUUGUCCGGAAAGAAAUGGCUCUGGUUAAUACCUGGGGUCGAUGACGGUACCGGAAGAAUAAGGACCGGCUAACUACGUGCCAGCCGCCGCAGUAA
rnacentral:rRNA from 1 species